GAAAUCACGAUCAAACAAAAACUACCGAUAAAAUCCUGGAAGAAAAAUGUUUAUGGUCAAAUUUAUGGGUGCAACAAAAAAAUACAAAUAGGGAUUGGAAGCUGAUAAAGGACAUCAAAUAACCAAUGACUUUUUUUUGAUUGAACAUUGAAACACGCACAUGGGGAAAGAUUGAAUAGUUAAUAGAAUACCAUGUGAAAGGGAGAAAUAUGGGUAGAUAGGGGCACGUUCAUGUGCCCCCUCUUAGUUUGGAUUAUGGACAUAUCAAGGGAAUAAUAGAUUUAAAAUCAAACUGUAGAAAUACAAUUGAGAAUACAUUUGUGACCAUAUGCAUUUGCCGAUACUAUACAGCUUUAUGAAUACAGCUUUAUGAUAGA